rnacentral:rRNA from 1 species
UACAGAGGGGGCUAGCGUUGUUCGGAAUUACUGGGCGUAAAGGGCGCGUAGGUGGCCUGCUAAGUCGAACCGGUGAAAUCCCCGGGCUCAACCCGGGAACUGCGUCCGAGACUGGCAGGCUUGAAUCCGGGAGAGGGAUGUGGAAUUCCAGGUGUAGCGGUGAAAUGCGUAGAUAUCUGGAGGAACACCGGUGGCGAAGGCGGCAUCCUGGACCGGUAUUGACGCUGAGGCGCGAAAGCUAGGGGAGCAAACGGGG